CGGGGUGCACCAGGCGCGAAAACUUUACAAUGCCGGCAACGGCGAUAAGGGAACCUCGAGUGCCAGGUUACAAAUCUGGCUGUCGUGAUGCCUAAAAAGCAUUGCAUAGCAAGGGCCGGGCAAGACCGGUGCCAGCCGCCGCGGUAACACCGGCGGCUCGAGUGGUAACCGUUAUUAUUGGGUCUAAAGGGUCUGUAGCCGGCCGGGUAAGUCUCUUGGGAAAUCUGGCAGCUUAACUGUCAGGCUUUCAGGAGAUACUGCCUGGCUCGAGGCCGGGAGAGGUGAGAGGUACUUCAGGGGUAGGGGUGAAAUCUUGUAAUCCUUGAAGGACCACCAGUGGCGAAGGCGUCUCACCAGAACGGACCUGACGGCAAGGGACGAAAGCUAGGGGCACGAACCGGAUUAGAUACCCGGGUAGUCCUAGCCGUAAACGAUACUCGCUAGGUGUCGGCCACGGUGCGACCGUGGUCGGUGCCGUAGGGAAGCCGUGAAGCGAGCCACCUGGGAAGUACGGCCGCAAGGCUGAAACUUAAAGGAAUUGGCGGGGGAGCACAAGGGCAAUUCGCGG
rnacentral:rRNA from 1 species